GUCCACGCUGUAAACGAUGACGACUAGGUGUGGGGGGGUUCGAGUCCCUUCCGUGCCGCAGCUAACGCAUUAAGUCGUCCGCCUGGGGAGUACGGCCGCAAGGUUGAAACUCAAAGGAAUUGACGGGGGCCCGCACAAGCGGUGGAGCAUGUGGUUCAAUUCGAUGCAGAGCGAAGAACCUUACCUGGGCUUGACAUGUAGGAAGUAGAAACCGGAAACGGCGACGACCUGUUAAGUCAGGAACCUACACAGGUGGUGCAUGGCUGUCGU
rnacentral:rRNA from 1 species